rnacentral:rRNA from 1 species
CACGGGUCCUACUCCUACGGGAGGCAGCAGUGCGGAAUAUUGGACAAUGGGCGAARGCCUGAUCCAGCGACGCCGCGUGCGGGACGAAGGCCUUCGGGUCGUAAACCGCUGUGGUAAGGGACGAAUAGCCGGUGGAGUGGAAAGCCACCGGAGGAGACGGUACCUUACUAGGAAGCCCCGGCUAACUACGUGCCAGCAGCCGCGGUAAUACGUAGGGGGCGAGCGUUACCCGGAAUCACUGGGCGUAAAGGGAGCGUAGGCGGCCCAGCAAGUCGACUGUGAAAAACCGGAGCUCAACUUCGGUCCUGCGGUCGAAACUGCUGGGCUUGAGGACAGUAGAGGGAGACGGAACUGCCGGUGUAGGGGUAAAAUCCUUAGAUAUCGGCAGGAACGCCGGUGGCGAAGGCGGUCUCCUGGGCUGGACCUGACGCUGAGGCUCGAAAGCCAGGGGAGCGAACGGGAUUAGAUACCCCGGUAGUC